rnacentral:rRNA from 1 species
AACGUAGGACGCAAGCGUUAUCCGGAGUUACUGGGCGUAAAGCGCGGGCAGGCGGCUCGAAACGUCUGAUGUGAAAUCUCCUCGCUCAACGGGGAGAGGCCAUUGGAAACGGUCGGGCUGGAGGGCAGUAGGGGCAGGCGGAAUUCCGGGUGGAGUGGUGAAAUGCGUAGAUAUCGGGAGGAACACCAGUGGCGGAAGGCGGCUCUCUGGGCCUUUCCUGACGCUGAGACGCGAAAGCGUGGG